rnacentral:rRNA from 1 species
GACGAACGCUGGCGGCGUGCUUAACACAUGCAAGUCGAACGAAGUGGCGAACGGGUGAGUAAUACGUGGGUAACCUGCCCUCCUUUUUGGGAUAAGCCUUGGAAACGGGGUCUAAUACCGACUAAAGGGGGAGGGGCUCGCGGACUAUCAGCUUGUUGGUGGGGUGAUGGCCUACCAAGGCGGUGACGGGUCGCCGGCCUGAGAGGGUGACCGGCGACAUUGUGACUGAGUGACGGCCCAGACGCCUACGGGAGGCAGCAGUGGGGGAUAUUGCACAAUUGGCUAAAGCCUGAUGCAGCGACGCCGCGUGGGGGAUGAAGGCUUUCGGGUUGUAAAUCUCUUUCGCGCUCGAACGGGUAGGUGGGGAAUAAGCGCCGGCUAAGUACGUGCCAGCAGCCGCGGUAAUUC